AUUGAACGCUGGCGGCGUGCUUAACACAUGCAAGUCGAUCGGUAACGCGGGGGCAACCCUGGCGACGAGAGGCGGACGGGUGAGGAACGCUUGGGAAUCUGCCUAUCAGCGGGGGACAACACGGGGAAACUCGUGCUAAUACCGCAUACGCUCUACGGAGGAAAGCCGGGGACCGCAAGGCCUGGCACUGAUAGAUGAGCCCAAGCCGGAUUAGCUAGUUGGCGGGGUAACGGCCCACCAGGGCGGCGAUCCGUAGCUGGUCUGAGAGGACGAUAAGCGACACUGUGAUUGAGACAUGGCUCAGACUCCUAAGGUAGGCAGAAGUGGGGAAUAUUGGACAAGGGGGGAAACCCUAGUCCAGCGACGCGGCGUGGUUGAAGAAGGCCUGCGGGUUGUAAAGCCCUUUCGGUAGGGACGAAAGCUCUCGACCUAACACGUCGGGAGGUUGACUUAACCUACAAAAGAAGCACCGGCUAACUCUGUGCCAGCAGCCGCCGUAACAC
rnacentral:rRNA from 1 species